rnacentral:lncRNA from 1 species
GCAAAAAUUCGACGGAGAGGGUGCUGGUAGGGCAAGCAAGUGAUUGCGGAAUACUGUUCAUUCAUGCGUAGCAAAUGCUACGAAGGAGCUACCAAGGAGAUCCGACAUGUUUGUGCGAUCAAUGUUUGGGAGUCUAGGGCCAUUCUUUCCAAAAAAUCGACCAUAAAUGGUGAUGGUCAGUAGCCUGCAACGUUUUUCUCCGAGGUGAAAGUUCUACAGUUUCAGUUGUACAACAUUUGUGUCCUGAAGAACACAUUCAAAGUUCUUGUGCCAUUCUGAUGCUUGCUCUGUCCAAUGGUGUUCUAUACAGUGAUACUAUUGGGUGAUUCUCAUGUUGGAAAAACAUGUUUGCGUGAUAGAUAUGUUGAGGGACCAGCUGGUUUCAAACAUUAUGAAGGAGUCCUUAUUCCAAAGCCACGUGGACACUAGGAUAUGGAGGGUUUUUGCUGUAUUCCUUUCUAAGGAUUCUUCCCAUUCCAGUCUUAAUGAAGAUUCCUGUGUAAGGAUACUUCGCAUGCCCAAUGUAAGAUUCCUGUGUAAAGAGUUUUUGCAUUUCUGAUUGUAUUCUGUUUACUUAACAUUUUAUUAACAACAUGAAAGCAUGUCAUCGCAUCACGUUACUUGGGUUAAACCAAGAAGCAAGUCAAAACCACUCUAGACAAAUCACACGGAGCGGAUUCACGCUGACUGGUUUUCGAAUUGAAUCCGGGAAAUGAAGCAAAAAACUUCAUACUUAAGCUUAAAGUUGGUUUUAAUUACAGAGCCACGUAAAGGUCCCUCAAACGGAAUCUGUUU